rnacentral:lncRNA from 12 species
CAUGGUUUAGAGCAAAGUUGGUGGGAAUAACAGUUCCAAUUUCUCUAUUCAGCCUGGGCACACAUGCCUUUACAACUCUGGGAGAUAGGACAGUUGUCAAUGCUGCAGUUUGUUCAAAGAGACAUGAAUAUGAAAAGAUAGAAGUAAUUUUUAAUAAAUAAAAUUAUAAAUAAUAUUACUGUGCAUUCAUUUCAAUUUUGGCAUUCUUGUCUAUCCCUUAAGUGGGACAUAUUGAAGUAUGUAGAAGAGAGGAGACAAAUUGAAAGUAAUGUGUAUAAGAGAGAGAAGUCAAGGAAGAUGUAUUUGGUGCUUUCUACUCCUACUUUUCACCUCAGAUCUGAGAGGUCAUGAGAAAGAGUAGAGUGGCAAAGAGAUGCAAGGAAAGAGACAUGGGGCAAAUUUUUCUUCUUUGAGGUUUUGGACCAGGAAUGAAUAGCUUUAGUGUGCUGUACUGAGGUUGAUUACUGGAGCUCUCACUUCCAGCUUCAUCUAUACUGGCAGGCUGAAGGCUCUAUGAUUCCAGUCAUUCUAAUGUGUGGUGAUCCAGGUGACCAAAGUUCACUGCCUUCAAAUCCUAACCACAAGUUGACUGCCCUGUGUCAUGAAGAUGCAACAUUUACUAAAAGGAAUGGCUGGAGGCAGAAGAAGCAAUGUUUCGGAAUUUUGGAAAACAACACAUAGAUCAAGCUUCCAUGUGACAGAUUUCCUAACAGCUGUGAUGUUUGCCAAGGAAAUUCUGCUGGAAGCCCCAGAUACUGAAUUCAAAAUACGUUGGAAAUUAAAACAGAGAUUUCCAGCUCUUGAUUACAUUAAAUUCAAAGCUCACUUAAUCUCUGAUGUUUUGUUUAAAUAGCAAAUCUUGACUUGAUUUGAAUAAAUAACUUCAUUUAUUAUUGGAG